GACGAACGCUGGCGGCGUGCUUAACACAUGCAAGUCGAACGGAAAGGCCCUGCUUUUGUGGUGUUCUCGAGUGGCGAACGGGGGAGUAACACGUGAGUAACCUGCCCUUGACUUUGGGAUAACUUCAGGAAACUGGGGCUAAUACCGGAUAGGAGCUCCUGCUCCAUGGUGGGGGUUGGAAAGUUUCGGCGGUUGGGGAUGGACUCGCGGCUUAUCAGCUUGUUGGUGGGGUAGUGGCUUACCAAGGCUUUGACGGGUAGCCGGCCUGAGAGGGUGACCGGCGACAUUGGGACUGAGGUACGGCCCAGACUCGUACGGGAGGCAGCAGUGGGGAAUAUUGCACAAUGGGCGGAAGCCUGAUGCAGAAACGCCGCGUGCGGGAUGACGGCCUUCGGGUUGUAAACCGCUUUCGCCUGUGACGAAGCGUGAGUGACGGUAAUGGGUAAAGAAGCACCGGCUAACUACGUG
rnacentral:rRNA from 1 species